AACAAACCGGCUGGCGCGCGGCCUCGACUUGGUUUGUUUACACGCCGUAUGUACGCGAGUCUUUCUAUCAUUCGUUUAACGAGACUCAAGCUGGUAGUAGCAGAAGCUUUGUAUUCUUUCUUGAAACGCGAUCAUUCUUUACGAACAUUUAGCAAUUACGAUUAAUCAAUUCUAAUCGAUUAAAUAAAUGCCAGAAAAUGUUUCGCGCAACUUAUUCGUUAAAUAGAAGCGAUAAAGAAUAGAAAUUAUAAAUUACUAAUAUAUGAUAUGUUUAAGUCCGACAGUAAGAACUUUUAGUGAACUAUAUAAACUUUUUGCGAGUGUGUGUGUGCAACGUACCCUCUGACGACCCUUCAACAACCUAAGAGAAGGAGAAGACUUCGAGACAUCGAGUUCGCUGCUGGAGUAAUCUUGGGAAAAGCGAAAGAAGCUUGAAUGAAGAAAGUCAUCGCACCGUUUCGAGAAUUCACCUCUCUCGAUUAGCCCGCGGCGUUCUUUGAAUUUCCUGGAAGCAAGUACUCAUCUCGACCGGUGUACGGGUGUCAGGCACGAAGGAGAUACUUUCGCGAUAUUCUGCGUGAAAAUCGCGAACGCAAUCCAUCCAGAGCGCCGUCCAGAGAUGCCUAGGACAUCUUUAUGCAUCACGUGACAUCUGCAGGAGCGGAAGCUGUAAACGAAACGCGGAACACAAGACGAAGGAAGAAAGCGAGCUGAAAAAUGUGCAUCCCCACGCGACUCUCCACAAGUAAUGCACACAAUAAUCGCGCCAGUGAAGUCUCUAAAGCCGACAUUGUGAGAGGCCCGGAUAGAACGACGCCAUUUUUCAUAUCGCGCCCGCGGGCGACGCGCUCGCAUAAAGGAAGAAAGAAACAAAAAAGGAGAAUCGCGCCGAUGCGAUAAUAAUUGCCGAUUUUAUGCAGCUAAUGAAAGACGCCCACCUAGACAGAUCUCAGUGGAGUCUCGGUGACAGCGAGAAGAAAUAAUUCUCCGAACUGUCACCAUUGUCAUCGAGAUACGUAUGGACGUUUGACACAGAAAUCCUAGCGAGGAAUGUCAACCUUCCACUCUUUACCGCGGAUCUCUUCUCGUCUAAUCUUCGCAUUGUGUUUGCGAGAGAA